GAUGAACGCUGGCGGCGUGCUUAACACAUGCAAGUCGAACGGUGACGGCGGAGCUUGCUCUGCUGGAUCAGUGGCGAACGGGUGAGUAACACGUGAGCAAUCUGCCCCUGACUCUGGGAUAAGCGCUGGAAACGGCGUCUAAUACUGGAUACGAGCUGCGAAGGCAUCUUCAGCAGCUGGAAAGAACUUCGGUCAGGGAUGAGCUCGCGGCCUAUCAGCUUGUUGGUGAGGUAACGGCUCACCAAGGCGUCGACGGGUAGCCGGCCUGAGAGGGUGACCGGCGACCCGGGGACUGAGACACGGCCCAGACGCCUACGGGAGGCAGCAGGGGGGAAUAUUGCACAAUGGGCGAAAGCCUGAGGCAGCAACGCCGCGUGAGGGACGACGGCCUUCGGGUUGUAAACCGCUUUUAGCAGGGAAGAAGCGAAAGUGACGGUACCUGCAGAAAAAGCGCCGGCUAACUACGUG
rnacentral:rRNA from 1 species